rnacentral:rRNA from 1 species
CAGGCUUAACACAUGCAAGUCGAGGGGCAUCAGGAACAUAGCUUGCUUUCUUUGCUGGCGACCGGCGCACGGGUGAGUAACACGUAUCCAACCUGCCCUUUACUCGGGGAUAGCCUUUCGAAAGAAAGAUUAAUACCCGAUAGCAUAAUGAUUCCGCAUGGUUUCAUUAUUAAAGGAUUCCGGUAAAGGAUGGGGAUGCGUUCCAUUAGGUUGUUGGUGGGGUAACGGCCCACCAAGCCUUCGAUGGAUAGGGGUUCUGAGAGGAAGGUCCCCCACAUUGGAACUGAGACACGGUCCAAACUCCUACGGGAGGCAGCAGUGAGGAAUAUUGGUCAAUGGGCGCUAGCCUGAACCAGCCAAGUAGCGUGAAGGAUGAAGGCUCUAUGGGUCGUAAACUUCUUUUAUAUAAGAAUAAAGUGCAGUAUGUAUACUGUUUUGUAUGUAUUAUAUGAAUAAGGAUCGGCUAACUCCGUGCCAGCAGCCGCGGUAAUACGGAGGGUCCGAGCGUUAUCCGGAUUUAUUGGGUUUAAAGGGAGCGUAGGUGGACUGGUAAGUCAGUUGUGAAAGUUUGCGGCUCAACCGUAAAAUUGCAGUUGAUACUGUCAGUCUUGAGUACAGUAGAGGUGGGCGGAAUUCGUGGUGUAGCGGUGAAAUGCUCAGAUAUCACGAAGAACUCCGAUUGCGAAGGCAGCUCACUGGACUGCAACUGACACUGAUGCUCGAAAGUGUGGGUAUCAAACAGGAUUAGAUACCCUGGUAGUCCACACAGUAAACGAUGAAUACUCGCUGUUUGCGAUAUACAGUAAGCGGCCAAGCGAAAGCAUUAAGUAUUCCACCUGGGGAGUACGCCGGCAACGGUGAAACUCAAAGGAAUUGACGGGGGCCCGCACAAGCGGAGGAACAUGUGGUUUAAUUCGAUGAUACGCGAGGAACCUUACCCGGGCUUAAAUUGCAGUGGAAUGAUGUGGAAACAUGUCAGUGAGCAAUCACCGCUGUGAAGGUGCUGCAUGGUUGUCGUCAGCUCGUGCCGUGAGGUGUCGGCUUAAGUGCCAUAACGAGCGCAACCCUUAUCUUUAGUUACUAACAGGUCAUGCUGAGGACUCUAGAGAGACUGCCGUCGUAAGAUGUGAGGAAGGUGGGGAUGACGUCAAAUCAGCACGGCCCUUACGUCCGGGGCUACACACGUGUUACAAUGGGGGGUACAGAAGGCAGCUAGCGGGUGACCGUAUGCUAAUCCCAAAAGCCUCUCUCAGUUCGGAUCGAAGUCUGCAACCCGACUUCGUGAAGCUGGAUUCGCUAGUAAUCGCGCAUCAGCCACGGCGCGGUGAAUACGUUCCCGGGCCUUGUACACACCGCCCGUCAAGCCAUGGGAGCCGGGGGUACCUGAAGUACGUAACCGCAAGGAUCGUCCUAGGGUAAAACUGGUGACUG